rnacentral:rRNA from 1 species
AGAGUUUGAUCCUGGCUCAGAACGAACGCUGGCGGCAUGCCUAACACAUGCAAGUCGAACGAGACCUUCGGGUCUAGUGGCGCACGGGUGCGUAACGCGUGGGAAUCUGCCCUUUGGUUCGGAAUAACUCAGGGAAACUUGAGCUAAUACCGGAUAAUGACUUCGGUCCAAAGAUUUAUCGCCAAAGGAUGAGCCCGCGUAAGAUUAGCUAGUUGGUGAGGUAAAGGCUCACCAAGGCGACGAUCUUUAGCUGGUCUGAGAGGAUGAUCAGCCACACUGGGACUGAGACACGGCCCAGACUCCUACGGGAGGCAGCAGUGGGGAAUAUUGGACAAUGGGCGAAAGCCUGAUCCAGCAAUGCCGCGUGAGUGAUGAAGGCCUUAGGGUUGUAAAGCUCUUUUACCCGGGAAGAUAAUGACUGUACCGGGAGAAUAAGCUCCGG